UGGGAUGUGGCUCAGUGGUAGAGUGCUUGCCUAGCAUGCACAAGGCCCUUGGUUCAAUUCCUAGCACCACAA